rnacentral:rRNA from 1 species
CGGGACACGUGGUAUCCUGUCUGAAUAUGGGGGGACCAUCCUCCAAGGCUAAAUACUCCUGACUGACCGAUAGUGAACCAGUACCGUGAGGGAAAGGCGAAAAGAACCCCGGCGAGGGGAGUGAAAAAGAACCUGAAACCGUGUACGUACAAGCAGUGGGAGCACGCUUCGGCGUGUGACUGCGUACCUUUUGUAUAAUGGGUCAGCGACUUAUAUUCUGUAGCAAGGUUAACCGAAUAGGGGAGCCGAAGGGAAACCGAGUCUUAACUGGGCGUUAAGUUGCAGGGUAUAGACCCGAAACCCGGUGAUCUAGCCAUGGGCAGGUUGAAGGUUGGGUAACACUAACUGGAGGACCGAACCGACUAAUGUUGAAAAAUUAGCGGAUGACUUGUGGCUGGGGGUGAAAGGCCAAUCAAACCGGGAGAUAGCUGGUUCUCCCCGAAAGCUAUUUAGGUAGCGCCUCGUGAAUUCAUCUCCGGGGGUAGAGCACUGUUUCGGCAAGGGGGUCAUCCCGACUUACCAACCCGAUGCAAACUGCGAAUACCGGAGAAUGUUAUCACGGGAGACACACGGCGGGUGCUAACGUCCGUCGUGAAGAGGGAAACAACCCAGACCGCCAGCUAAGGUCCCAAAGUCAUGGUUAAGUGGGAAACGAUGUGGGAAGGCCCAGACAGCCAGGAUGUUGGCUUAGAAGCAGCCAUCAUUUAAAGAAAGCGUAAUAGCUCACUGGUCGAGUCGGCCUGCGCGGAAGAUGUAACGGGGCUAAACCAUGCACCGAAGCUGCGGCAGCGACACUAUGUGUUGUUGGGUAGGGGAGCGUUCUGUAAGCCUGUGAAGGUGUACUGUGAGGUAUGCUGGAGGUAUCAGAAGUGCGAAUGCUGACAUAAGUAACGAUAAAGCGGGUGAAAAGCCCGCUCGCCGGAAGACCAAGGGUUCCUGUCCAACGUUAAUCGGGGCAGGGUGAGUCGACCCCUAAGGCGAGGCCGAAAGGCGUAGUCGAUGGGAAACAGGUUAAUAUUCCUGUACUUGGUGUUACUGCGAAGGGGGGACGGAGAAGGCUAUGUUGGCCGGGCGACGGUUGUCCCGGUUUAAGCGUGUAGGCUGGUUUUCCAGGCAAAUCCGGAAAAUCAAGGCUGAGGCGUGAUGACGAGGCACUACGGUGCUGAAGCAACAAAUGCCCUGCUUCCAGGAAAAGCCUCUAAGCAUCAGGUAACAUCAAAUCGUACCCCAAACCGACACAGGUGGUCAGGUAGAGAAUACCAAGGCGCUUGAGAGAACUCGGGUGAAGGAACUAGGCAAAAUGGUGCCGUAACUUCGGGAGAAGGCACGCUGAUAUGUAGGUGAAGUCCCUCGCGGAUGGAGCUGAAAUCAGUCGAAGAUACCAGCUGGCUGCAACUGUUUAUUAAAAACACAGCACUGUGCAAACACGAAAGUGGACGUAUACGGUGUGACGCCUGCCCGGUGCCGGAAGGUUAAUUGAUGGGGUUAGCGGUAACGCGAAGCUCUUGAUCGAAGCCCCGGUAAACGGCGGCCGUAACUAUAACGGUCCUAAGGUAGCGAAAUUCCUUGUCGGGUAAGUUCCGACCUGCACGAAUGGCGUAAUGAUGGCCAGGCUGUCUCCACCCGAGACUCAGUGAAAUUGAACUCGCUGUGAAGAUGCAGUGUACCCGCGGCAAGACGGAAAGACCCCGUGAACCUUUACUAUAGCUUGACACUGAACAUUGAGCCUUGAUGUGUAGGAUAGGUGGGAGGCUUUGAAGUGUGGACGCCAGUCUGCAUGGAGCCGACCUUGAAAUACCACCCUUUAAUGUUUGAUGUUCUAACGUUGGCCCCUGAUCGGGGUUGCGGACAGUGUCUGGUGGGUAGUUUGACUGGGGCGGUCUCCUCCUAAAGAGUAACGGAGGAGCACGAAGGUUGGCUAAUCCUGGUCGGACAUCAGGAGGUUAGUGCAAUGGCAUAAGCCAGCUUGACUGCGAGCGUGACGGCGCGAGCAGGUGCGAAAGCAGGUCAUAGUGAUCCGGUGGUUCUGAAUGGAAGGGCCAUCGCUCAACGGAUAAAAGGUACUCCGGGGAUAACAGGCUGAUACCGCCCAAGAGUUCAUAUCGACGGCGGUGUUUGGCACCUCGAUGUCGGCUCAUCACAUCCUGGGGCUGAAGUAGGUCCCAAGGGUAUGGCUGUUCGCCAUUUAAAGUGGUACGCGAGCUGGGUUUAGAACGUCGUGAGACAGUUCGGUCCCUAUCUGCCGUGGGCGCUGGAGAACUGAGGGGGGCUGCUCCUAGUACGAGAGGACCGGAGUGGACGCAUCACUGGUGUUCGGGUUGUCAUGCCAAUGGCACUGCCCGGUAGCUAAAUGCGGAAGAGAUAAGUGCUGAAAGCAUCUAAGCACGAAACUUGCC